rnacentral:snoRNA from 1 species
GGAUCAAUGAUGACUUAAAAAUGGAUCUCGUUGGAAUCUGAACAAAAUGAGUGAACCAAGCCAUUUCUGUGCCACUUCUGUGAGCUGGGGUCC